AGGACAGAGAUGUGUUGAUACAGGGAGACAGAUGGACAUCUGUGGAUUAGGUGAAGGAGGGGUUGAGGUCAGGACAGAGAUGUGUUGAUACAUGGGAGAGGCAGAUGGACACCUGUGGAUUAGGUGAAGGAGGGGUUGAGGUCAGGACAGCGAUGUGUUGAUACAGGGAGACAGAUGGUCAUCUGUGGAAUAGGUGAAGGAGGGGUUGAGGUCAGGAGGUGAGGACAGAGAUGUGUUGAUACAGGGGAGACAGAUGGACAUCUGUGGAUUAGGUGAAGGAGGGGUUGAGGUCAGGAGGUGAGGACAGAGAUGUGUUGAUACAUGGGGAGACAGAUGGACAUCUGUGGACUAGGUGAAGGAGGGGUUGAGGUCAGAGAUGUGUUGAUACAGGGAGACAUCUGGGUAUUAGAUGAGAGGUUGAGGUCAGGACAGAUUCUCUGAAGAGAGUAAUUUAAUGUUUGGUAUCCUGUUACCCUCUUUAUUAGCUUCCUGUGGAGCCAUGAAAUGUAGGGAUUGGAGAGAAAGGGGAGUGUCUUAAGUAGGAUGUAUAUAAACUGUGAAGUCUGAAAUCUUUAGCUGUCUGAUUUUCUGCUGUACAGAACCUUUGGGAAAUGAUUAAACUUGGUUAAAGCUUC